GUGGAGACGCUGCGAACGAACCAGACAGCAUCACGUAUGCUGCCAUUGAGAUAAAGAAGAAAGGGUCAAAGGUUUCCUCAGCUGCCACCAAAGGAAGUCCAUCAGAGCAGCAGUCAGUUUACUCUUCAGUCGCCUUUAAAACUUAAAUUAGUUAUUUUAUGGAGCUAAUCUCAGCUCAGACUGUUGGUUUUUUUAGUCAAUGAUAGAAGAGUCUCUGACAUUUUGUCAUAACUUAAAAUGGACAAAUACAACAAAGCAAUAAUAAACAUGACACCUUAAAAACGUUAUCUGUGUUUAUGUUGUUUAUAGAAAUUUAAAACAUGUUUUUAGGACUUAUUAUCUUUCUCUUUCAGACUUUUGCAUGUAGUAUUUUCUAUUUUUAUGAUGUUCUUGCCUCUUUUGUUGUCACGUCUUUCUGAUUUUCAUCAGAGCAAAGCAGCUACUGCUUUUUAAAUAAACUCACUGUGAUGGUCUUUAA